AAGGACCAGACACUUUGCAUUCU
rnacentral:siRNA from 1 species